rnacentral:snoRNA from 1 species
AUGAAAUAUUUUUAAAUGAUAUAUAUGCAUAUUUUUUUUAAAUUCAAAGCCAACACUAUGUGUGCAGUGUUCUCUCCUGAGCAUGAAGUCAACUCUCUGAGUUGCUUCUGCAACUGUCUUCUGCCAUUGAUGGUCGUUCUUCUCUUCCUUUGGUAGAGGAGAGGGAGAGGACAUAGUACAA